rnacentral:lncRNA from 1 species
GCGGCCAGGAUAUUACAGAGCACAUGCACCAAUGAGGCGGUGCCUGCUUCCUGCUGUGAAGUGGGAUGAGCACACCUUGCGAGUCCAUGGUCUCCAGGACCCAGUGCACAUCCUCUGCUGGCGUGGCAGGGUCGCCUCAAGAUCUCCUGAUGAUGCCAAGGGCAGGCUUGAGCCCAGCCUCCUAGGCUGCUAGAGCGGAUGGUCCCCACGCUGACCCCUGUGCAUGGACUCUGCUCUCCAGACUCUCCUCUCUGGCAAGGCGUCGCUGGCUUUGGGGCAGCUGAC